ACGGGGUGCAGCAGGCGCGAAGCCUUUACAAUAUACGCAAGUAUGAUAAGGGAACCCAGAGUGCUAAUACAUAGUAUUAGCUUUUUUUAAGAGUAAACAUCUUAAAGAAUAAGUGGUGGGUAAGACUGGUGCCAGCCGCCGCGGUAACACCAGCGCCACGAGUGGCAGCCGCGUUUAUUCGGCCUAAAGCAUCCGUAGCCGGAUUAGCAAGUCUUUUGUGAAAUCGUUGGGCUUAACCUAACGGCGUGCAAAAGAUACUACUUUUCUAGAGAUUGGGAGGAGUUAGAGGUAUUCCUUGGGGAGCGGUAAAAUGCUAUAAUCCUUGGAAGACCACCUGUGGCGAAGGCGUCUAACUAGAACAAUUUUGACGGUGAGGGAUGAAAGCUGGGGGAGCGAUCCGGAUUAGAUACCCGAGUAGUCCCAGCUGUAAACUCUGCGAGCUAGGUGUUGCAUGUUCUCCGUGAAUAUGCAGUAUCGUAACGAAGGUGUUAAGCUCGCCGCCUGGGAAGUACGGUC
rnacentral:rRNA from 1 species